rnacentral:lncRNA from 1 species
UUUUUUGUGAUUAAAAGUUCAACAUUAGUAUGAAAAGGUUACAAAAUAUAGUUCUACUAUUCUCUCCUUUGAGUUGAUACAGUAAGUUUGAUAACUUUUUACCUUGAAAUCAUGACUGAAUAUUAUAGGAGGGACAAAUUGCCCGCCACCAACACCUUCUCUCUUUGAUAUAUAAACAAUCAUAAACAGUUAGCAAAUGCAGACUUGGAGUUCUGCAUAAAUUACAUUAACAAAAAUUAAUUGAUAGAUGCAUUGAAAGGUAUGUUAUUGUACAGUGUAUUUGAGUCCAUAUUCCGUAAAUUGUUCAUUGCAUUUAAUGUACAUAAUG